rnacentral:rRNA from 1 species
UACGUAGGGGGCAAGCGUUGUCCGGAAUCAUUGGGCGUGAAGAGCGUGUAGGCGGUCCAGUAAGUCCGCUGUGAAAGUCAAGGGCUCAACCCUUGAAAGCCGGUGGAUACUGCUGGACUAGAGUCCGGAAGAGGCGAGUGGAAUUCCUGGUGUAGCGGUGAAAUGCGCAGAUAUCAGGAGGAACACCGAUGGCGAAGGCAGCUCGCUGGGACGGUACUGACGCUGAGACGCGAAAGCGUGGGGAGCAAACGGG